CAUGAAUGUAUGAUGCUACGUGAAUUUUUGUGAAGUAUCAGCUCCCCUGCCCAGAAGGCCAGUUUGGGUGCAUGGGCAUCUUUUGCACACCUGAAGCUGGUUGAGAAUUGGGGUGCUGAAGGCUGAGCUGAGGAAAGGGCUCCAUGUCCCACCUGGCUCUGAGCUUUGAUCCUUCGGGCUGGUGCAUGGGGUUACCAGAGCUGGUCAGUUCUGGGGCCAAGUAGGAGUCAUCAGCUGCAUGUGAAGAGAAACCAAGAUGGUGCACCCACAGAGGGCCAGGGCCCUGGACACUCAUGCUAGAGCUGGGGUUUGCUGGCUCAGAAGCAGGGAGCACAUCUUCCGAGAUCCUUGAGCAGCUCCACUCUCUAAUCUCACUUCAGCCUGACUCCAUCCCAUCCAUGCCUCCUGUCCUGAGACAGUUUGAAAACAGCAUGACAAAGUAACGUUCUGAGAAACUCCCUGAAAGAAAGUAAAAGAACUCAACAUGGCAGGAGGCUGAUGGUGCCAUCAGUUCCGGCAGUCUUUGACUUGCGAAUGUUCAGCUUGCUUGGACACCAGCUGGGAAUAUUCCCUGGGCCCAAGUCCACAGUCUUCUAAGACAUGGCUGGCCUAGGGGCAGGGAGGCCAUGGAAGGAUGUGGAACACAGGAGCAGGUGGGAUUUUAAUCUUUAGAAUUUUCAGCUCAUGGUGUGUUGGCCAUAAUUAUCAAGUUCAAGCUUGGUUUGUACUGGCUUCUUUUUUUUUCUCUGAAGGGUAAUCUGGCACUCAUUUGAAUCACUGCGCCCUAGUUGGGUUCUACUUCCUCGGUGGAGGGCCAGGUCCAACUCUUGGCAUAAGGCCACUCCUGUUUUUAAAUUUCCCCAUCAUCUCCAGCACACAAUCAUUCCAACAUGAUGUCUAAUGGAGAAAUGUUCAUUGUUUAAUUAAAGCAAGAGCUAUUACAAUUCUUCCUCCAAGUGUUUAGCAUUAGCUGUUCCAAAAUGAUAGCCAUUAUCAAAAAUUGUCAUAACUCAUUUACUCUUUAGCAGAUGCUUAAGAUUUUCAUGAACUAUUGUGAGACUUGACCAGUAGAAGGUUGUAUUUACUGGAAUUAGUUUUACCAUGCUUCAAGCUAGAAUGACUUUUAGCAAAAUAGAUAUAGCAUUUCAAAUGUUCUAAUUAAAAGAAGAAAAAAUAGAAUAUUUUUCCCUACCUGAAAGUAACCUUAUGUAUUCAGGGCAAUCCUCCGUAGAUUUAAAAAGAAAUCAAGAGUAAUAAUGAAAACUCUUGAAAGAUCUGUAGAUCACAUAAAGAUUAAAACUGGGAAAUUUACCUAAAUUGAUGCUUAAUGAAAUAGGUUAGAAAUUGGUGUGUUUUUUUUGAUAGUUCUUUUCAUUCCAAGGGCAAAAAACAGUAUGGGGGGGUAGUUUGCUUGAGGGUCCCAAGCAUACACAUUUCCUCACAGCACAACUUGUUCAGACCCUGUGCCUGUGCUGCCUCUGAGGCCAGGUCAAAUGAAGGCCCUGAGGCUCAGGCUGGAGCAGGUGCAUUGCAGUCCAGUUUGUGCCAAGGACUAAAUCUGCUAGGAAGCAAAUCCCUGGGCUCCCCACUUCAUAUGCACCUGUUUAUCAAGGGAAAUACAGUGGAAGGGAGGGUGUGUGGUGCAAACUACUAACAAUGAUAUAGGCAGUAAGUUAAUUUGGCAAAUUACCCCCUCAGUACCUUCCAUCACCAUCAGUUCACUAGGUUGCCUAGAGGUCAUGACAAGACUCAAUACCAAACACUCUGCCCUGCUGGGACAGUAGGGAAUUCCCUGGGGGACAGAAGCAAAGCAGCUCAGCUUCACUAACAUGGGCUUCAGCAUCUCAUGGAGGUGUGCUCUCUUGGUGCUUCUCAGAGUCCUCUCAGGAUGAACACCAUCUCCACCUUCAGGGUGGAGACUGAGGCCCAGGAUGGUCCAGCAGUCUCUCUGGGGAGAUGCCACUUGCACCAGUCUGUGUGUGUGUCCUUGGUGGAGUGUACAUGUACUACUGAAGGACGUGUGUGAUUAUUACAGGCAUUCUCCACAUCAGAAGGGACCCCAAGGAAGUCAUGUUGGACCUAUGAUUAUCUCACAACCACUAGUCAUGACUCUGUUAUUGGUAAGGAAGGCAUGUGAUUGCGAAGUGAUUUUCGAUUCCAUGGUCUUGCUGCAUCUGAAAUAAUACACUAGCAGGAUGGAUGGUCCCAGUCAGGAAUGUGAGCUUCCUUGACACUGAAUUCACACAAGCUGGAGAUGCAGAAUACUUACAAACCAGUAUUGUAGAAGACUAAGUAGGAAUGUGCCACACCUCAAAAGGACACUUAUGAACUACUCCAUUGCUAGUAUCUCAGGAUUUACCUAUUUUCUGCCACCAGAAAACACUGUGAAUGGUAUUACUAGAGUGGAAUUUGCUCAAAAAUGACUUUUCCCAUUGUUGAAAAAAGCUCCAAUCCAUCUUUCCUCCUGAAUAAUAUAAGUUGAGUGAUCUCAAUAUUUUAUUUUGAUUCACAUGUGUUUAAUUGUGCCUCUUGAUGGGGUUCACUACAUUUCAACAAUGCAUACAGUGUGCACAGUACAAAUCCAGCCUCCCUUUAUCCCCUUCCUUCCUAACCCCUAGUUAAUAUUAAUCUAGUUAAUAUUCUACAUUAAAGUCAACAAUUUUUUUAGCUUCCACAUAUAAGAAUGAACAUGUGGUUUCUGUCUUUCUGUACCUGGCUUAAUACAUUUAACAUCCUCCAUUUAACCACAUUGCUGAAAAUGACAGGAUUUCAUUCUUUAGAGUGAAAAAUAUUCUACUCUCUACAUACACAUUUUCUCUAUCCACUCAUCCAUUGUAGGCACCUAAGUUGAUUUCAUAUCUUAGCUAUCAUGAAUAGUGUUGCAAUAAACAUGUACAUGCAGGUAUCUCUUUGGUAUGUUAACUUCAUUUCCUUUAAAUAUAUAGCCAGUAGUGGGAUUGCUGGAUAUGGUAGACUAACUUUUAGUUUUUUGAG